UGACUCUAGCGGAGGGGAUAUACCCUGCUCCAUCCCGAACCAGGCAGUCAAGCCCUCCAGCGCCGAUGGUACUUGGGACGCAGGUCCCUGGGAGAGUAGGUCGUUGCCAGAG
rnacentral:rRNA from 1 species